GGUCUUGACAUCCCGGAGACCUUAGGAACUAGGGGUGCUUCCAUCUGGAAGAAUCUGGAGACAGGUGCUGCAUGGCUGUCGUCAGCUCGUGUCGUGAGAUGUUGGGUUAAGUCCCGCAACGAGCGCAACCCUUGCCUUUAGUUGCCAGCAGUUCGGCUGGGCACUCUAAAGGGACUGCCGGUGUUAAACCGGAGGAAGGUGGGGAUGACGUCAAGUCCUCAUGGCCUUUAUGACCAGGGCUACACACGUACUACAAUGGCCGAUACAAAGGGCAGCGACACUGCGAGGUGAAGCCAAUCCCGUAAAAAUCGGUCUCAGUCCGGAUUGGAGUCUGCAACUCGACUCCAUGAAGUUGGAAUCGCUAGUAAUCGUGGAUCAGCAUGCCACGGUGAAUACGUUCCCGGGCCUU
rnacentral:rRNA from 1 species